AUGGAGACACAACUCGCGGAUCUGAUCCGAUCCGUCAACGAGGGGCGUGCGGCGAACGACGCCCGCCUGGAGGCAAUCCAGGCGUCCCUCGAGCUCUGGAGGUCGGCGGUCUCCAACCUGCAACGCGAGCUCGACGAGCUCCGCACCCAAGUGGGACGGAUCGCCCUCCACCCGGCACUCGCGACGCAAGGCGAGACGGUGGAAGAAGUGGUGGUGCCUCCGGCACCGUCUCCUUCGACGAUGGGCCCCGAGCACCACGGGCCAAGUGGCCACGGCGAGAUCUUCAACUCCGGGGGUGGGGCUCACGGGGUGGUCACCACCCUGCAGCCGCCUCCGGUCAAGGGUACGUACCAAUCCCUACCGGAGAACUACGCAUCUGUAGGAGUUGGGUCGAGUCGUAUGAUUAAUUGGGAGCCGCCACACGCCACGCAGCAGUCACCGCACACGCAUCACUGGGCGCUGUCGAAAUUGGAUUUUCCCCAAUUCGACGGGGAAAACCCACAGUUCUGGAAGUCUAGAUGCGAAAAAUACUUCGAUGUUUAUGGUAUUCAGCCCGAUUUCUGGGUUCGUGUAGCCACCUUACACUUCACAGGCACCGCCGCUCGCUGGCUGCAGCUGCACGAAGCAGCAAGUUGCUUGUCCACUUGGGAGGGCCUAUGCACAUCACUGAAGGAGAAAUUUGGUCGAGAUCAGUACCAAAUGCAUCUCCGUCAGUUUAACAUUCUGAAACAGACAGGAUCCGUAGAGGAGUACAUGGGGCAGUUUGAGGAAUUAAUGCAUCAUAUUCUCGCGCACAAUUCUGGGUUCGAUCCGAUUUACUUUACAACUCAAUUCUUAGAUGGGUUAAAGGCUGAAAUUCGCGCUGGAGUUGCUUUACAUAGACCGCAAAACUUGGACUCUGCCUUUUCCUUGGCCCUGUUGCAGGAAGAGCUGGUGGAGGCGAUGCCGCGGCGCGAGCACAGACGAUAUGAUCCAGCGCCGCCAAGACCCCCAGCGCGACCAGCACCAGCAAUGGCCGUGCCAGCGGCGCCGCAGCGCGUACCGUUACUUGCCCCACAAGCAGCAGCGGAGGAUCGCCGGGCGUUGGACGCAGCACGUACGGCUGACCGUCGCCCUGAGAAAGGACGAGGCGAAGAUCGUGUAGCCGCGCUCCGCAACUACCGCAGAGCAAGGGGGCUGUGCUUCAAAUGCGGCGAACGCUGGGGCCAGGGCCAUCAGUGCGCAGCCACAGUCCAGCUGCACGUGGUGGAGGAACUCCUUGAGCUGCUACAAGCUGAAGAGCAUGACAGGCAAGAAGCAGAGUCUGAUUCGGAAGAGGAGGUGCUCAUGUCCAUAUCAAAGCUCGCAACGACAGGGCAGACCAGUCCGCGCACGGUCCGUUUGCUGGGACAGAUCGGGGGGCGUGAAGUGUUGAUAUUGGUAGACUUUGGCAGUUCCCACAGCUUCGUCAGCAAGGAUGUCGCAGCAAGGAUGACAACUCAAGUACAGCAGAUGGCACCUGUGUCAGUAAAAAUCGCUGAUGGAGGGCUGCUAUCUUGUUGUGGAUACAUACCGGCGUGCAAAUGGGAGACGCAGGGACACCAAUUUACCACUGAUCUGCGGGUGCUGUCGCUAGGCUGUUAUGACAUGAUGCUGGGAAUGGACUGGCUGGAGCACUGCGGACAGAUGCUAGUGGAUUGGGGAGCAAAAACAUUGAAGUUCUAG
rnacentral:rRNA from 1 species